CCGACCUUAGCUCAGUUGGUAGAGCGGAGGACUGUAGUGGGCUUCUCUCAUGGCCAUCCUUAGGUCGCUGGUUCGAAUCCGGCAGGUCGGA
rnacentral:tRNA from 2 species